CAACUACCCAUGGAAAAAGAUAAAAGAAGAUCUUUUCAAGCAAAAAUAAAUGUGUGUAGGGUAAGUGUAUCAUCGGUGUGGAAUACUUAGCAAAACUUUUGACCUUCAGUCCUGAUGAAUUUGAAACACAAAGAAGGCUUUGAAAUGCUGCAAAUUGGGCUUAGCUGACAUUUAAACAUCAAUUCUGAAUGUGUCCACACCCAAAUAUUGAUGCAUCAGAUGUAAGACUAUUGAUUUUUUCAACAGCAUGUUUCAGCCAUCUGCUUUCCUUUGCCUAGUUUUAUUUCUGUCAGUUCUUGCAAUGAAUUGACUUUGGUUGGGGGUUCACAUACAAUAAAAUCUCUCAUCUAAAACAAAAAUAGACAAAAUAACUGCAUUUGCCUGCAACUGAUGCCCAGACCUUGUGCCAUCAUGUGGCUAGCUCUGCUCGCCCAGCCCCUACUAGCAGGAAUAAAACAGAUGUUGCCCAUGAAACCAUUGCAUGGAGGGCCUGCACCCUGAAGGAGAGCUAGGCUCCAACCCAUAAAUUCCUGGGAUUCUGGGAUGCCUGCUUUUGUGCAUUCAGGCUCCUUGGAGUAAUACCAAUGCUCAAGCCAUAUGUUUAGCCUGGGCUUUGGUCCACACAAUUCCCCAAGCCAUAAUUUUGGAGAGACCGCUCUUCCUUACUCCUGUGCCAAGGCAAGCAGAAUACCUUAAAGCACCUUGGCUCACACUCACCUGACGUCAUCGGAAAAUAAAAAUUCUUCUGGGCUGGCACAUCUAUGAGUUUGAUCAAAAUGCCCUUCUUACCCUCACCCGGCUGUUAGAUCCCUCCCCUCAGGCUGGCUUUCUGUGUCACUCACUCUUCUUCCAUGUGUGGUGGCUGCAGGGGGGGGGGCUCAGGAGUAGCCAUCUCUCUUCAUCUCUUGGCCCCCGUGAUGGAGGAUUUCAGUGCAGAAGACAGAGGCUGCCAAGAACAAGCUGAGGACUCAACUUGAAUGAAGCUCAGGCUCAGAUGCAGCCAGAUGCAUUUCUGCUCACACCAGAGAACACAGGGCACAGUCUCCCUAAAUCCUAACUGUAGGUACCUGUCAUGCAAAGGAAAAAUAAACUCAUGGAUGAUUAUUUAAAACUCCUUUAAUUAAACAGGUACAAAAUAAAAUAAAAUAAAUAAAAUAAAUAAAAUAAAUA
rnacentral:lncRNA from 1 species